GGUUGUGGCUCAGUGGUAGAGCACUUGCCUAGCAUGUGUGAAGCACUGGGUUCAAUUCUCAGCACCA
rnacentral:tRNA from 1 species